rnacentral:rRNA from 1 species
GACGAACGCUGGCGGCGUGCUUAACACAUGCAAGUCGAACGAUGAAGCCCAGCUUGCUGGGUGGAUUAGUGGCGAACGGGUGAGUAACACGUGGGUGAUCUGCCCUGCACUUCGGGAUAAGCCUGGGAAACUGGGUCUAAUACCGGAUAGGACCUCGGGAUGCAUGUUCCGGGGUGGAAAGGUUUUCCGGUGCAGGAUGGGCCCGCGGCCUAUCAGCUUGUUGGUGGGGUAACGGCCCACCAAGGCGACGACGGGUAGCCGGCCUGAGAGGGCGACCGGCCACACUGGGACUGAGACACGGCCCAGACUCCUACGGGAGGCAGCAGUGGGGAAUAUUGCACAAUGGGCGCAAGCCUGAUGCAGCGACGCCGCGUGAGGGAUGACGGCCUUCGGGUUGUAAACCUCUUUCAGUACCGACGAAGCGCGAGUGACGGUAGGUACAGAAGAAGCACCGGCCAACUACGUGCCAGCAGCCGCGGUAAUACGUAGGGUGCGAGCGUUGUCCGGAAUUACUGGGCGUAAAGAGCUCGUAGGCGGUUUGUCGCGUCGUCUGUGAAAACCCGCAGCUCAACUGCGGGCUUGCAGGCGAUACGGGCAGACUUGAGUACUGCAGGGGAGACUGGAAUUCCUGGUGUAGCGGUGAAAUGCGCAGAUAUCAGGAGGAACACCGGUGGCGAAGGCGGGUCUCUGGGCAGUAACUGACGUUGAGGAGCGAAAGCGUGGGUAGCGAACAGGAUUAGAUACCCUGGUAGUCCACGCCGUAAAC